UGGAGGCCCCGCCGAUCCCCUGUUGGAUCUCUUUCCACCAGUAUCCGGCUACCUCCCCCUCGAUCUGGUCUCCCGUCCACAACGCCUUUGUUGACCGGCGAGAAGGAGCUAGCCACUGGAUCCACUGAUCUCAAGGGGCAUCACGCCGUGCUGCAGCUCCACAUCCCUGCGUGUGCAGUGCACAAUCGUUGCUGCUGCAUCUCGGCAGCUCGCCCCGUGCAUGGUCGCCACCGGCGUGUAGUUCGGCUAGAGCUGCAGCUCUCUCUCCUCACAUCAUGCAGUUCACGGUGAAUGACGAAGACGAUGGCAGCGAGAGCGACGAGUGAAGGGGUACGCCAAGCAGCAAUUGGGGGAGGGGGUCUCUGGAACGUCGUCGUUGCUGCUCAUCUGUAAUGCCACCGAUCCUUGAUGGAUGUUAUGUACCUCCCUCUCUUUCAGGCUGCUGCCAUCACCGCAGCAACCCAGGAUCCCAUCCUCUAUUCUCUUCCGCACAGAGUGCAAAUGCAGUCCGCUGUGGUUUUCUCCUAACGUUCAUUUGAUCUUUUUUGCAGGAAAGAUAAGUGGCGAAGUUCCGUUGGAUGCCCCCAUUACCCAAUUUUUUUUGUUCAAAACUGAAGUUCAUUGUUGAAAAUUGUUGACAAAUAUUGAGUUGUGCAAUUCAUUGUAAAACCGCAUUCUCUUGGUUUUGGUUUUUUGUUGUGUUUUGUGCGGUGUAUUUAGCUGCUAGUGGUGCCGUCUAAUGGGGCCAAUUUUUGUCAACGGAAAGCAUGCAAGUGACGACAUCCAAGUGUGUAGGUUGAAUAUAGUUCACUCA